rnacentral:rRNA from 1 species
CCUACGGGAGGCAGCAGUGGGGAAUAUUGCACAAUGGGCGAAAGCCUGAUGCAGCAACGCCGCGUGAGUGAUGAAGGCCUUCGGGUCGGAAAACUCUGUCCUCAAGGAAGAUAAUGACGGUACUUGAGGAGGAAGCCCCGGCUAACUACGUGCCAGCAGCCGCGGUAAUACGUAGGGGGCUAGCGGUAUCCGGAUUUACUGGGCGUAAAGGGUGCGUAGGCGGUCUUUCAAGUCAGGAGUGAAAGGCUACGGCUCAACCGUAGUAAGCUCUUGAAACUGGGAGACUUGAGUGCAGGAGAGGAGAGUGGAAUUCCUAGUGUAGCGGUGAAAUGCGUAGAUAUUAGGAGGAACACCAGUUGCGAAGGCG